CCUACGGGAGGCAGCAGUCGAGGAUAUUUAGUAAUGGACGAAAGUCUGACUAUGUGACGCCGCGUGAGGGAUGAAGGUCUUCGGAUUGUAAACCUCUUUCGAUGGGGAAGAAAAUUCCGCUUAAUACACGGAACUGACGGUACCCAGAGAAGAAGCCAUGGCCAACUCUGUGCCAGCAGCCGCGGUAAU
rnacentral:rRNA from 1 species